CCCCACCAGUCUCUCCCCUUUCAAGCUUUCCCUCAGGCAGAGCUCUUCCCAUUCUUCCUUGAAAACCCUAGCCUCCAUUGCGCCGCCAUUGGUCUCACCGCCGCCGCCUGGUUUGUCGUGGUCGUUCGCCAAAUCUCCUAGUUCGUCGUGCUCGAAGGCCCUCCCGUUCGCCUAACGCCAACGUCUCCAGGUCUUGCUCCAACGUCGUCCGUCCGUCGUGUUCGUCGCCAGAUCGCCAGCGUUCGUCGCCAGCUCCCCGUCGUCCGUCUCCAUCUCACCAGUGUUCGUUGCCAGCUUCCCGUCGUCCGUCGCGAGCUUACCGUCGUCCGUCGCCCGUCGCUCUCCCUCAAAUCUAUGGUCACUGCCCUCGCCGAAGAUAGAUUUCUUUUUCUCUGUCACGGCUCUGAGACUCUUACACACCCAUACAGUGGCCACCUCUCUCCCCGCGCCGCUGCCCUCUCUCCAUCGUCGCUGCUCCUCUGUGCUCCUUGUCGGCACAGCCUCUGCUCGUGGCUGUCGCCGUUGUCUUGCAGGUGCAUUGAUUCUGGUCAAGGUUGGCAUGUACUUGGUUAUAUGA